GAUGAAGAACGCAGCGAAAUGCGAUACGUAAUGUGAAUUGCAGAAUUCAGUGAAUCGUCGAGUCUUUGAACGCACAUUGCGCCCCCUGGUAUUCCGGGGGGCAUGCCUGUCCGAGCGUCAUUGCUGCCCUCAAGCACGGCUUGUGUGUUGGGCCUCCGUCCUCCUCCCGGGGGACGGGCCCGAAAGGCAGCGGCGGCACCGCGUCCGGUCCUCGAGCGUAUGGGGCUUCGUCACCCGCUCUUGUAGGCCCGGCCGGCGCUUGCCGACACAUCAAUCUUUUUUCCAGGUUGACCUCGGAUCAGGUAGGGAUACCCGCUGAACUUAAGCAUAUCAAUAAGCGGAGCA
rnacentral:misc_RNA from 1 species